rnacentral:rRNA from 1 species
UACGUAGGUGGCAAGCGUUGUUCGGAAUUAUUGGGCGUAAAGGGCGCGUAGGCGGUUUGUUAAGUCGGAUGUGAAAGCCCUGGGCUCAACCUAGGAAGUGCAUUCGAAACUUCCGAGCUGGAGUGCUGGAGAGGAAGGCGGAAUUCUCGGUGUAGAGGUGAAAUUCGUAGAUAUCGAGAGGAACACCGGUGGCGAAGGCGGCCUUCUGGACAGUAACUGACGCUGAGACGCGAAAGCGUGGGGAGCAAACAGG